GUGGGGCAUUGACCGAAGCUCGGUGCGAUCCGCACUAAGGAACCAUGAACUCGAAAGCAGAGGGCCCCUUGGCAUGCACAGGUAGCCCAAUGCGCCAGAGAUUCCUCGGAAUCAAAUGACUCUCGGCAAUGGAUAUCUCGGCUCUUGCAUCGAUGAAGAACGUAGUGAAAUGCGAUACUUGGUGUGAAUUGCAGAAUCUCGUGAACCAUUGAGUCUUUGAACGCAAGUUGUGCCCGAGGCCUUGUGGUCGAGGGCACGCCUGCUUGGGUGUCAUGGCAUCGUCGCCUUUGCUGCAUGCAUUGUUGUUGCUGAGUGCGGAAAUUGACCCCGUGUGCCCUCGGGCACAGUCGGUUGAAGAGUGGGUCGUCGGCAAUCGUCGGGCACGAUGGGUGUUGGUCGCCGUGAGCGGGAACAGAACAUCCCCCCCCAUCAUUUCUAGACGAGUCCUCAAAAAACCCUGUGUGAAUGUGACAUCGGGUGAAAGUGCCAUGUCCUUCAACUUGUGGCCCCAAGUCAGGCGAGGCCCCCCGCCGAG
rnacentral:rRNA from 1 species